rnacentral:lncRNA from 1 species
GUCUCCGCAGCAGGUCCCCCCGCACGACUUCUGCCAGGGGCCGUCCCCCAUCAGCAGCACCGGGGUCCGGAGCAGGGCGUCGUCGGUCGCCCGAGGGCAGCCUCACAUGAGCAGACAGCAGGGCCUCUUCUCCGUGGGGGCCUCCUCCGAGGGCGCUGUGAGCCUCAGCAGGGGCGGGUCUCCGGCGGCCCUGGGGCUGCAUGGCUGGGGGCUCUCGGGGUCCACGGGCAGCCCCAGCUUAGCACCCUCGGAGCCCUCGGGCAGGGGUCGCUGCAGCUUAGCAGCGGCUCGCUGGCGCUUCAGCUCCGCCAGGGUGUGGUGGGCCUUGGCGCAGGCCAGGGCGUCAGGGGUGGUGCUCUCCAGGGGGCUCAGCUGGUAGGACACGCUCCGGUCCAGCCGCUUGGAGUACAGGUGCCGCCCUGGGGAACCUCCCACGCGGCCGUUGUGUGGCCUGGCCAACUCUGGUUCCUCCUCCUGCCAGGAAGCAGGGACCUCAGAGGCCGUCGGGAAGGCGUCUCCGGCCUCCCUGGGACUUGGGCACCAGGCGGCGUGGCAGCCGAGGCGCAGACACAGGGGUGUGGGCAGCAGCUGCCCGAGGGCACUAGCCCAGUGGGGGCACUGGCUCGCUGGUCCCACCGACUCCUAGGGCGGGUGCGGCGGGAGGCCCAAGGCACCGAUGUCAGGCCACAAGCCCGCACUGCUCAGAGGGCAGCGCCCAGGCCCACCACCCGCGUCGGGCUCACCUCGCUGGGCACAGGCCGCAGCUCUGCAUCCGUUCGGCCAUCCUCGUCCUCCUCGGGGGGCUCCGGGCUAGUGGGCGGUGGCUGUUGCCACACGAUGGCCUCCUGGGCAUGCUCCUUGCGGUACAGGCUGGUACGCUGGGUCAGGCUCACCCUCCUCACCACCUUCCUGGGGAAGGCAGGGAGAGGGUGGGGGAGGGUGCCACUCGCCCCACGGAACUACCGGGGGCCCUGCUGGCACCUCAGCAACAUCAGCGGGGGCAAAGCCUGGGCAGGCGGGGAGGGAGAUGGGAGGAUGGGCAGGGUGUCUGCAGCUGGGGGGCAACCACGGGCGCUCACCCCCGGCUGCCCGCGCUCGAGGUGCGGCGGCGCAGCAGAGAGCGCUGGCGGCCCUGGGCACGCAGGAGAGCGUCGUGCUUGUGCUUCAGCUCCAGCAGCUUGGUGCGCACCUCUUCAUCCCCACACACGUCUGAGGAGAAGCGGGCGGAGGUUACGGGUGCCCUCCCGCCCACCCUGUUGGCUGGCAGAGGCAGCCCCAGCUCACCAAGAGGCGUCUCAUCCAUCAGAGACUUCCCGUUCAGGUCGGCCCCAUGUGCCACAAGCAGCUCCACCAGGUGCACCUGAGGGCCAGCGACCCGGGCUGCUGAAGGCCGCGGAGCCAGGAGCCGGGAGCCACCAGCCAGGCCCGGCUGCCCCCAGGUCCGUGCUCACCUGGCCCCAGUAG